rnacentral:ncRNA from 1 species
GACAACAGGCUGAUGACUUCCAAGAGCCCUUAUCGAUUGGCACCUCGAUGUCGAUUCAUUACAUCCUGGGGUUGAAGAAGGUCCCAAGGGUUCGGUUGUUCGCCGAUGAAAGUGGCACGUGAGUUGGGUUUAGAACGUCAUUC